rnacentral:misc_RNA from 1 species
UACGUAGGGGGCGAGCGUUGUUCGGAUUUAUUUGGCGUAAAGAGCUCGUAGGCGGUUUAGCAAGUCGGGUGUGAAAACUCCGGGCUCAACUCGGAGAGGCCUCUCGAUACUGCUAUGAAUCGAGUCCGGUAGGGGAGUGCGGAAUUCCUGGUGUAGCGGUGAAAGGCGCAGAUAUCAGGAGGACCACCGGGGGCGAAGGCGGCACUCUGGGCCGGUACUGACGCUGAGGAGCGAAAGCGUGGGGAGCGAACAGG